UGGUGUACUAGCAAAACCAUUAACGGAUUUAUUUAACCAAUCAUUGUUAACAGGAGUAGUCCCAGAAGAUUGGAAGUUAGCGAAUGUUGUGCCCAUUUGCAACUAUAGGCCAGUAAGCCUUACUUCAGUAGUGGGGAAAGUGAUGGAAACCAUGUUAAAGGAUAGGAUUGUUGAACAUCUAAAAACACAUGGAUUUCAAGAUCAGAGACAACAUGGGUUUACUUCAGGGUGAUCAUGCCAAACUAAUCUUAUUGAUUUUUUUUGAUUGGGUAAAUAAAAUUAUAGAUCAGGUUGAUGCAGUAGACACUGCUUAUCUAGAUUUCAGUAAGGCUUUUGACACUGUUGCAUCAAUAAACUGCAAUCUUUAAGUUUGGAUUCCAAUAUUGUUGAAUGGGUAAGGCAGUGGCUGAGUGACAGGCAACAGAGUGUUGUAGUUAAUGGAAUAUAUUCAAAGAUUGGACUUGUCACCGGUGGGGUACCUCAGGGAUCUGUACUUGGACCAUUCUCUUUAAUAUUUUUAUUAGUGAUAUUGCAGAAGGUCUUGAUGGUAAGGUAUGUCUUUUUGCUGAUUGUGACAGAACCAUCUGUCUGUCUAUUGUGGUGGAUUCGUCUAUUUCUGCCCUCUUUCGUGUAAAUGGCUGUUUCUAUAGCCCAGCCAUACGAAUGACUGUUUUCACCGAACAAAUCUACCGAACGGAUGGCCACCCAGGAUAAGAAGUGUGCUGCUGGUUAACCUCUUGAUCCCAAUUAGAACGUUGUGGUUAACCGCAGACCCUUCUCAAUUAAACCGAAUUCAGGGUGGCCGUCGUUCGUAUGUCGACCACAAGGCAGCGGCCAUUUUAAAACACUGAAAGCCCAGCGGUGUUUGGCACUGAUUCCAUGGAACUAAAAACGGACACUUUUUCUGCCGAACACCGCUGAAACAACGGGUCGCCUGGCUGCCUCGACGAAAGCGUACAAACACCGGCAGUUCGGGAGUUUUAAAAUACACGAAAGGACUUAACCCAGAUAGCCUUCCCAUGGAGUCAAUCGCAUACCGAAAGACUGUAAGGACUUUGACUCCGUGGCGAUUGAACUAUGUGUGUGGGAUCUGAGCGCUAUUCGCCAAUAAUAUGCACUCAGAUCCAGGCUAUCUGGGGAUAUGUGGUGCGAAUGGGAAAUGUUCGGUUAUUUUAAAGUUAUGUAUUUUUAUGUAUUUUCUAGUAUUGUAUUUAAGAUGGCGAUUUGUCUUUGUCCUGGAGAUAAUUGAAUUACUUCCCAAUUAUCUCCAGGGCAGAGGGGAGGAAACCAUAUUGCAUUGUGGGAAAAGGUUACAUCUGUAUGUCUGAAAUGACCCCAUGUCUAUCUGUCAUUACAGUCUCCCAUUUGGUCCCCUAGGGGAGUGUCCACCAAGUGGGAGACCUGCAUAAAUACGGGCAGGUAGUCCACAGUAAAGCCAGAUCCUGUUUGACCCUCAAUGCGGAGCUUCUGUCUCGUUAUUGGGGGGGAUUUCUUAUUUGCGCUUAGAGACUGUUUAUUGGAACCGAAAGCUGCUUGGUGGAUAUCGUUGUUCGGCGGCUAGCAGCAGUUCGUGGAUUUCCGUUCGGGAGUUUGGAGCCUUUCACGGAUCCCGGUCGGGAGAUUACCGCUUCCCCUGAUGGUGGUUCGUAUACUGCAGUCUAUGCGAAUGGAGUUAUUGGUAUUGCGAAAGGGGAAGGCUAACUAAACGGCGGUUUCGCUUAAAGACACCAGGGGUGUCUUAACAAUUGGUCGCAAGCGACGGGAUGAAUCCGACAGCACAGAAGGUCAGCUACACAUCCCGAUUUGGUGAAAAGAAAUGCAGUAUGAGGAGUUAAGGCGUGCUACCCUUAAGGACAUACUUGAACGCCAAGGACGGACAGCAAGUAAUUUGAAAAAUAGAGAAAUUAUUGCUUUGCUACUGGAGAUGGAUGCAACACAGGGAAUGGAGAGAGCUAAUGUGCCCAGCAUUUUGGAUUUAACCCUCGAGGAAAUACAAUUUAACCGGGCAGUGCAAAUAAGGCUGGCACACUUUGGCCCCAACCCCUCAGCAGACAUUAUGGAACGUGCAGGCAGCAGUGAUGGCACACCAGGCGCUCCGGGAAAGAGGAGCUGCAGCAGUAGAGGUACCCAAUAACAAUUUUGGAAAGAAAAAGGUACCCUUUGCUGCAUUUAAAUUUUUUGUUGAAACAGAGGUAGAGAUUGAUGGGUCACCAUCCUCUCUGGGAAAUUAUCCGACCGGGCUAGUGAAGCAUUUUGGGCCAUCCCAGAGGAGGAGAUUACCAGCUACCGGGCAGUGCAAGAUGCGCUCCUAGCCAGGUAUGCGGUGACCCCAGAAGCUUACCGACGACGCUUUAGGGAAACUAGCAAGCAGGUUGGUGACUCUUAUGUAGAAUGGGCCUGCAGGGUCCACCGUACCGCAGCCCACUGGAUGGCAGGAUGCCAAACGGUAACUGGGGAGGAAGUGCUGCAGGUGUUCUUGCUGGAACAUUGCUUCGAUAGAUUACCUACCGGGGUCCGGGAGUGGGUUAGGGAUAGGAAACCCUCCACCCUACCCGAGGCUGCCUGUCUGGCAGACGAAUACACGGACGCUCGCAAGUUGGACAGUACAGCUACCAAAGUUCUUGCCAGAAUGGAGUAUCGACCAACAAUAACUCCAGCACCUUCAGCCUACCAACCCCCAGUAAACCGCACCCCAGCAGUACCGCCAGUGAACAAUUACAUACAACCCUCCCGGUUCAAUGCCAGGGAUUAUUCGCAGCCAAUUCGGUGCUUUGGGUGCAAACAGUUGGGGCACAAGCGACCGGAGUGCCCACUGAACAGCGCCAAUCAAGCCCAGUCGUGGAGGAGACCAGCCAGCGGGAAUCAGCGGCCACCCCAGCCUGCUGCUCACUGUAUCGAGCAGGAGGAGUUCUGGGGCAUUCUACACGAGGCCGACCCAGUGCAAGCAGCUCAUCAGGACAAUCGCCAGCAACACUGGCAGACUGUGAAGCUGAACGGCAGAGUGGUAAAUGGGCUGAGAGACACAGGAGCCACUAUGACACUGCUCCAAAAGAACCUAGUCUCGGAGCACCAGCACACUGGGGACACCGUGGCAGUGAGGGUAGCAGGAGGCGCAGUGUUCCGCUUACCUGUUGCCCGGGCACAUUUGGAUUGGGGAGUGGGUGCUAGACACGUGGAUGUGGGGGUUAUGAAAGACUUGCCCGCUGAUGUUCUUCUUGGGAAUGAUUUGGCCCCUUCGGUUUCCGCCUAUGCCCCGAUGGGUCCUGCUGACGUUAACCCAGUGACUACUCGUGCUCAGACCGUGCUACUGGAACCGGCUUGCCUGCUGAUAAGACCCUCUUCCCCGACUGGUACCUUAGAUCAGGCCCCCUUAAGCUGGGAUUCCCCAGAGGAGUUUGGGAGGGAAACCUGGGCGGACCCGACUCUCCAGAAAUACCGAGAUAGAGCAGAGACUGGAGAGGAAGGAAUAGAUGGGGAGUGGUAUGAGUGGGUGGGGGACAGGUUAUAUAGGAUCCCUAAGCCUUCCCAGAAGAGUGUUGCCCCUCCACAGAAUCAACAGCUAGUGGUACCUGCAAAGUACCGGCAGGAGAUUCUGCGGAUAGGGCAUGAUGUUCCGUUAGCUGGACAUCUAGGGUCCCGCCGCACAGCCUAUAGGAUCUCACAUAAUUUCUUUUGGCCCAACUUUAACCAGGCUGUGCGGAUGUAUUGCAGUAAGUGCGACACAUGUCAACGGGUAGGAAAGCGGGGGACCACCCUAAUGCUAGAUUAUUAUCGAUGCCUAUUAUAGGGGAGCCCUUUUCCCUCAUAGCUGUUGACAUUGUGGGUCCACUGGCCAGGGCUAGCCCAUCCAGUAAGAAAUAUAUUCUUACUGUGGUGGACUAUGCCACUCGCUAUCCAGAGGCAGUAGCGCUGUCUAAUAUAGAGGCAGAGACGGUUGCUGAUGCCCUGGUUAGAAUUUUUACUAGGGUCGGGUUCCCUAAGGAGAUCCUCUCUGACCAGGGAACCCAAUUCACCGCUGUGCUCACUCAGCAACUGUGGAAGGUGUGUGGCAUUAAACUGUUACUUAGCUCACGCUACCAUCCACAGACUAACGGUCUCUGCGAGCGCUUUAACGGUACCCUCAAGCAGUUGCUAAGGAACUUUACAGAUACUUGCAGAGACUGGGAGAGGUUCCUGCCUUCUGUUUUCUUACAGAGAGGUGCCCCAGGAAUCUACUGGGUUCUCCCCCUUUGAGUUGCUGUAUGGGAGAAGGGUCCGCGGACCCCUAGAUCUCAUCUGGGGCCACUGGGAGGGGGAGACGGAGCAGGAGGGGACCCCCAUAGUGCCAUAUGUCCUGGAACUCCGGGACCGCAUGGAGAAACUAUCCCUGAUGGUAAGGGAGAAUCUCCAGGCGGCCCAGGGGAGACAGAAGAGAUGGUACGAUCAGGGUGCCAGACAGCGGGUCUUCCAGGUUGGGCAAGAAGUAUUGGUGCUCAAACCUGUGAAGGCAAACAAGAUGCAAGCAUCUUGGCAGGGCCCGUACAGAGUAGUAGCGCAGAUCUGCGAUACUUACUUGAUAGCCAGCUGUUCAGAGAUCCUUUCAUGUGAACAUGCUGAAAGAGUACCAGGAGAGACCUGAGAAUAUUGUGGCAGUAUGUGCCCAGGCUGCAGAUGAUCCUGGGAAUUUACCUCUUCCCGAUUUGUUAGAGAGGGACCACCAGACUGACCUCACUACCCUUGUACAGCUAGGGGACAGGUUGAACCCCACAGAAAGGGUACAAGCGAAGCAGCUGUUGUGGGAGAAGCAGGCGACGUUCUCCCAGAAGCCAGGUUAUACUACCCUAGCUGUACAUAAGGUCGAGACCCCUGGACAGACCCCCUUACGACAGCCGCCCUAUCUUAUCUUAUUAAGCAGUCCGAGAAGGAAUGCGGAAGGAGAUACAGGAGAUGACCCAGCUUGGGUUCAUCGAGCACUCCGACAGCCCUUGGGCCUCGACUCAACGAGUGGACCACCACUGACGCCUACCCGAUGCCCCGGGUAGACAAAUUCCUGGAUCGUAUUGCCAGGGGGCGCUAUCUGACCACCACAGACCUGUGUAAGGGCUACUGGCAGAUCCCCCUGGCCGAGAAUGCUAUCCCCAAGUCGGCAUUCAUCACCCCAUUUGGCCUGUACCAAUUUAAGGUCAUGCCUUGUGGGAUGAAGAAUGCCCCGGCUACCUUCCAGUGGAUGGUGGAUAGACUCCUGGAUGGCUACCAAGAAUUUGUCUGUGCAUACUUGGACGACAUUGCGAUCUACAGUGGGUCCUGGGAGGAACACCUGGUUCAUGUAGGGGUGGUACUGGAUAAGAUUCGGGCCGCUGGCCUGACAUUGAAGCCAGAGAAGUGCCAUCUAGGUAUGGCUGAAGUACAGUACCUGGGUCACAGAGUGGGAUGUGGGAGCCAGAGACCAGAGCCAGCCAAGGAAGAGGCAGUGGCUAACUGGCCCACACCUACCACCAAGAACCAGGUAUUGGCCUUCUUGGGGACGGCAGGGUACUACCGAUGUUUUGUCCCUGACUACAGCACUAUUGCUAAGCCCCUGACAGACCUGACGAAAAAGAACUUGCCUAAGCAGGUCCUGUGGUCUCCGGCUUGUGAAGCUGCGUUUCAGGCACUGAAACAGGCUCUUGUGAAUGCCCCUGUCUUGGCUGCCCCAGUCCCUAACAAACGCUUUCUCGUCCAUACAGAUGCUUCCAUGUGCUGAGCCAAGUCGGGAAAGAUGGAGGAGAGCACCCUGUCGCAUAUCUCAGCCGAAAGUUUUUACCCAGAGAAGUGAGUUAUGCGGCAGUGGAGAAGGAGUGCUUGGCCUUGGUCUGGGCAUUGAAAAAGUUAAGUCCUUACUUGUAUGGGCAAGAGUUUUCCCUUGUGACUGAUCAUAACCCACUCGUCUGGCUUAACCGGGUCUCAGGGGACAAUGGUAGACUGCUGAGAUGAAGCUUGGCACUACAGCCCUACAAUUUCACUAUCAGCUACCGACCCGGUAAGCAAAACGGGAAUGCGGAUGGGUUAUCCCGGCAAACUGACGUCUCCACCACCUCCUAGUCCGAGUCCGGUCAUCCUCAAGUUGACCCGCCAAAGGGUCAAGCCGGGUCUGCCGGAGUGUCCGACAAGGAGGGAGCCGUGUGAGAACCAUCUGUCUGUCUAUUGUGGUGGAUUUGUCUAUUUCUGCCCUCUUUCGUGUAAAUGGCUGUUUCUAUAGCCCAGCCAUACGAAUGACUGUUUUCACUGAACAAAUCUACCGAACGGAUGGCCACCCAGGAUAAGAAGUGUGCUGCUGGUUAACCUCUUGAUCCCAAUUAGAACGUUGUGGUUAACCGCAGACGCUUCUCAAUUAAACCGAAUUCAGGGUGGCCGUCGUUCGAAUGUCGACCACGAGGCAGCGGCCAUUUUAAAACACACGAAAGACCAGCGGUGUUUGGCACUGAUUCCAUGGAACUAAAGACGGACACUUUUUCUGCCGAACACCGCUGAAACAACUGGGUCGCCUGGCUGCCUCGACGAAAGCGUACAAACACCGGCCGUUCGGGAGUUUUAAAACACACGAAAGGACUUAACCAGAUUGCCUUCCCAUGGAGUCAAUCGCAUACCGAAAGACUGUAAGGACUUUGACUACGUGGCGAUUGAACUAUGUGUGUGGGAUCUGAGCGCUAUUCGCCAAUAAUAUGCACUCAGAUCCUGGCUAUCUGGGGAUAUGUGGUGCGAAUGGGAAAUGUUCGGUUAUUUUAAAGUUAUGUAUUUUUAUGUAUUUUCUGGUAUUGUAUUUAAGAUGGCAAUUUGUCUUUGUCCUGGAGAUAAUUGAAUUACUUCCCAAUUAUCUCCAGGGCAGAGGGGAGGAAACCAUAUUGCAUUGUGGGAAAAGGUUACAUCUGCAUGUCUGAAAUGUCCCCAUGUCUAUCUGUCAUUACAGUCUCCCAUUUGGUCCCCUAGGGGAGUGUCCACCAAGUGGGAGACCUGCAUAAAUACAGGAAGGUAGCCCACAGCAAAGCCAGAUCCUGUUUGACCCUCAAUGCGGAGCUUCUGUCUCGUUAUUGGGGGGGAUUUCUUAUUUACGCUUAGAGACUGCUUAUUGGAACCGAAAGCUGCUUGGUGGAUAUCGUUGUUCGGUGGCUAGCAGCAGUUCGUGGAUUUCCGUUCGGGAGUUUGGAGCCUUUCACGGAUCCCGGUAGGGAGAUUACCGCUUCCCCUGAUGGUGGUUCGUAUACUGCAGUCUAUGCAAACGGAGUUAUUGGUAUUGCGAAAGGGGAAGGCUAACUAAACGGCGGUUUCGCUUAAAGACACAAGGGGUGUCUUAACACUGAUCAUACUAAGAUAUGUAACAGGGUUGAUGUUCCAGGAGGGAUAAGC